rnacentral:rRNA from 1 species
GUGGGGAAUCUUCCGCAAUGGACGAAAGUCUGACGGAGCAACGCCGCGUGAGUGAAGAAGGUUUUCGGAUCGUAAAGCUCUUUCGUUAGGGACGAACGUGCUCUUUGUGAAUAAUGAGGAGUAAUGACGGUACCUAAAUAAGAAGCCACGGCUAACUACGUGCCAGCAGCCGCGGUAAUACGUAGGUGGCAAGCGUUGUCCGGAAUUAUUGGGCGUAAAGCGCGCGCAAGCGGGAUAUCAAGUCUGUCUUAAAAGUGCGAGGCUCAACCUCGUGAGGGGACAGAAACUGGUAUUCUUGAGUGUCGGAGAGGAAAGUGGAAUUCCAAGUGUAGCGGUGAAAUGCGUAGAGAUUUGGAAGAACACCAGUGGCGAAGGCGACUUUCUGGACGAUGUCUGACGCUGAGGCGCGAAAGCUAGGGGAGCGAACGGGAUUAGAAACCCUAGUAGUCC